UAGAUAUAAACAGCUUUGUUAAUAGGGAAUGGCUCUUUUCCUUUAAGUCUUCUUCAGGAAAUGAGAUAAAGUUCCAAAUAUAUUUCCAUUUUCUAGAAAAAUUAUUCAACAAACACUCAAAUAUUUAAAAGAAGAUGUGGUAUGAUUGCCAAUGAGACAACUAUCCACAAAAGACCAAAAUGACACAGACAUUAACAACUAUAGGUCACCGUAAGGCCUUCAACAAUGAGCAAAGCCCAUACCGCAUAGUCAGCUAUAAAAGGCCCCGAUAAGGCAAUGUAAAACAAUUCAAACAAGAAAACUAACGGCCUUAUUUAUGUAAAAAAAUUAA
rnacentral:lncRNA from 1 species